GACGAGCCACCCAAACGUUAUUCGGAAUUACUGGGCUUAAAGGGUGCGUAGGCGGGUCUUUAAGUCAGGGGUGAAAUCCUGGAGCUCAACUCCAGAACUGCCUUCGAUACUGGCGAUCUCGAGUUCGGGAGAGGUGAGUGGAACUGCGAGUGUAGAGGUGAAAUUCGUAGAUAUUCGCAAGAACACCAGUGGCGAAGGCGGCUCACUGGACCGGUAUUGACGCUGAGGUGCGAAAAGCGUGGGGAGCAAACAGGG
rnacentral:rRNA from 1 species